rnacentral:rRNA from 1 species
GGGUUGUGAGGUUAAGCGACUAAGCGUACACGGUGGAUGCCCUGGCAGUCAGAGGCGAUGAAGGACGUGCUAAUCUGCGAAAAGCGUCGGUAAGGUGAUAUGAACCGUUAUAACCGGCGAUGUCCGAAUGGGGAAACCCAGUGCAAUUCGUUGCACUAUCGUUAACUGAAUACAUAGGUUAACGAGGCGAACCGGGGGAACUGAAACAUCUAAGUACCCCGAGGAAAAGAAAUCAACCGAGAUUCCCCCAGUAGCGGCGAGCGAACGGGGAGCAGCCCAGAGUCUGAAUCAGCUUGUGUGUUAGUGGAACGGUCUGGAAAGUCCGACGGUACAGGGUGAUAGUCCCGUACACCAAAAUGCACAGGUUGUGAACUCGAAGAGUAGGGCGGGACACGUGGUAUCCUGUCUGAAUAUGGGGGGACCAUCCUCCAAGGCUAAAUACUCCUGACUGACCGAUAGUGAACCAGUACCGUGAGGGAAAGGCGAAAAGAACCCCGGCGAGGGGAGUGAAAAAGAACCUGAAACCGUGUACGUACAAGCAGUGGGAGCACCUUCGGGUGUGACUGCGUACCUUUUGUAUAAUGGGUCAGCGACUUAUAUUCUGUAGCAAGGUUAACCGUAUAGGGGAGCCGCAGGGAAACCGAGUCUUAACUGGGCGUUAAGUUGCAGGGUAUAGACCCGAAACCCGGUGAUCUAGCCAUGGGCAGGUUGAAGGUUGGGUAACACUAACUGGAGGACCGAACCGACUAAUGUUGAAAAAUUAGCGGAUGACUUGUGGCUGGGGGUGAAAGGCCAAUCAAACCGGGAGAUAGCUGGUUCUCCCCGAAAGCUAUUUAGGUAGCGCCUCGUGAAUUCAUCUUCGGGGGUAGAGCACUGUUUCGGCUAGGGGGUCAUCCCGACUUACCAACCCGAUGCAAACUACGAAUACCGAAGAAUGUUAUCACGGGAGACACACGGCGGGUGCUAACGUCCGUCGUGAAGAGGGAAACAACCCAGACCGCCAGCUAAGGUCCCAAAGUCAUGGUUAAGUGGGAAACGAUGUGGGAAGGCACAGACAGCCAGGAUGUUGGCUUAGAAGCAGCCAUCAUUUAAAGAAAGCGUAAUAGCUCACUGGUCGAGUCGGCCUGCGCGGAAGAUGUAACGGGGCUAAACCAUGCACCGAAGCUGCGGCAGCGACACUAUGUGUUGUUGGGUAGGGGAGCGUUCUGUAAGCCUGCGAAGGUGUGCUGUGAGGCAUGCUGGAGGUAUCAGAAGUGCGAAUGCUGACAUAAGUAACGAUAAAGCGGGUGAAAAGCCCGCUCGCCGGAAGACCAAGGGUUCCUGUCCAACGUUAAUCGGGGCAGGGUGAGUCGACCCCUAAGGCGAGGCCGAAAGGCGUAGUCGAUGGGAAACAGGUUAAUAUUCCUGUACUUGGUGUUACUGCGAAGGGGGGACGGAGAAGGCUAUGUUAGCCGGGCGACGGUUGUCCCGGUUUAAGCAUGUAGGCUGAUUGUCCAGGCAAAUCCGGAUAAUCAAGGCUGAGGUGUGAUGACGAGGCACUACGGUGCUGAAGUAACAAAUGCCCUGCUUCCAGGAAAAGCCUCUAAGCAUCAGGUAACAUCAAAUCGUACCCCAAACCGACACAGGUGGUCAGGUAGAGAAUACCAAGGCGCUUGAGAGAACUCGGGUGAAGGAACUAGGCAAAAUGGUGCCGUAACUUCGGGAGAAGGCACGCUGGUGUGUAGGUGAAGUCCCUGCGGAUGGAGCUGAGACCAGUCGAAGAUACCAGCUGGCUGCAACUGUUUAUUAAAAACACAGCACUGUGCAAACACGAAAGUGGACGUAUACGGUGUGACGCCUGCCCGGUGCCGGAAGGUUAAUUGAUGGGGUUAUCCGUAAGGAGAAGCUCUUGAUCGAAGCCCCGGUAAACGGCGGCCGUAACUAUAACGGUCCUAAGGUAGCGAAAUUCCUUGUCGGGUAAGUUCCGACCUGCACGAAUGGCGUAAUGAUGGCCAGGCUGUCUCCACCCGAGACUCAGUGAAAUUGAACUCGCUGUGAAGAUGCAGUGUACCCGCGGCAAGACGGAAAGACCCCGUGAACCUUUACUAUAGCUUGACACUGAACAUUGAGCCUUGAUGUGUAGGAUAGGUGGGAGGCUUUGAAGCGUGGACGCCAGUCUGCGUGGAGCCAACCUUGAAAUACCACCCUUUAAUGUUUGAUGUUCUAACGUUGGCCCCUGACCGGGGUUGCGGACAGUGUCUGGUGGGUAGUUUGACUGGGGCGGUCUCCUCCCAAAGCGUAACGGAGGAGCACGAAGGUUAGCUAAUCCUGGUCGGACAUCAGGAGGUUAGUGCAAUGGCAUAAGCUAGCUUGACUGCGAGCGUGACGGCGCGAGCAGGUGCGAAAGCAGGUCAUAGUGAUCCGGUGGUUCUGAAUGGAAGGGCCAUCGCUCAACGGAUAAAAGGUACUCCGGGGAUAACAGGCUGAUACCGCCCAAGAGUUCAUAUCGACGGCGGUGUUUGGCACCUCGAUGUCGGCUCAUCACAUCCUGGGGCUGAAGUAGGUCCCAAGGGUAUGGCUGUUCGCCAUUUAAAGUGGUACGCGAGCUGGGUUUAGAACGUCGUGAGACAGUUCGGUCCCUAUCUGCCGUGGGCGCUGGAGAAUUGAGGGGGGCUGCUCCUAGUACGAGAGGACCGGAGUGGACGCAUCACUGGUGUUCGGGUUGUCAUGCCAAUGGCACUGCCCGGUAGCUAAAUGCGGAAGAGAUAAGUGCUGAAAGCAUCUAAGCACGAAACUUGCCCCGAGAUGAGUUCUCCCUGAGACUAUAAGUCUCCUGAAGGAACGUUAAAGACGAUGACGUUGAUAGGCCGGGUGUGUAAGCGCAGCGAUGCGUUGAGCUAACCGGUACUAAUGAACCGUGAGGCUUAACCUUACAACGCCGAAG